GACGAACGCUGGCGGCGUGCUUAACACAUGCAAGUCGAACGGAAAGGCCCUGCUUUUGUGGGGUGCUCGAGUGGCGAACGGGUGAGUAACACGUGAGUAACCUGCCCUUGACUUUGGGAUAACUUCAGGAAGCUGGGGCUAAUACCGGAUAGGAGCUCCUGCUGCAUGGUGGGGGUUGGAAAGUUUCGGCGGUUGGGGAUGGACUCGCGGCCUAUCAGCUUGUUGGUGGGGUAGUGGCUUACCAAGGCUUUGACGGGUAGCCGGCCUGAGAGGGUGACCGGCCACAUUGGGACUGAGAUACGGCCCAGACUCCUACGGGAGGCAGCAGUGGGGAAUAUUGCACAAUGGGCGGAAGCCUGAUGCAGCAACGCCGCGUGCGGGAUGACGGCCUUCGGGUUGUAAACCGCUUUCGCCUGUGACGAAGCGUGAGUGACGGUAAUGGGUAAAGAAGCACCGGCUAACUACGUG
rnacentral:rRNA from 1 species